AUGACUUUCAUCACCAUCUUCAUCUGGACACUGACCUGCUGCUGUUUUAAAGAGUCCAGAGGUCAGGUGACUGUGACUCAGACUCCUGUAGUGAAAUCUGUUCUUCCAGGAGACACAGUCACUAUCAACUGUAAAACCAGCUCUGCAGUGUAUACUUUCAGUGCUCAAGAUGAUGAUGGUAAUGAUGUAGAUGUUGAUAUACUAGCCUGGUACCAACACAAACCUGGAGAGGCUCCUAAACUCCUGAUUUCUUAUGCAAGCACCCGUGAGUCUGGAGUUCCAGAUCGUUUCAGUGGCAGUGGAUCUGAUACUGACUUCACUCUGACCAUCAGUAACAUCCAGACUGAAGAUGCAGGAGAUUAUUACUGUCAGAGUGGACAUGAGAUCAGUGGCAAAGAUGUGUUCACACAGUGA